AUAAUUCUUCGUUAGGUGAGGCUCCUGCAUAAACAUAGGCCACUGCCCGGAAAUGUCGAGAGACGCCAAUGGGUAGAACAGGUACUACCGGAUUAAGGUUUUACUUAAGGUGGCUGAGUGAUUUGGGUUUGUACUCUACGUUAUGCAGUGCCAAAACUCGUACGAGUGAGGAAGGUG
rfam:Pelosinus sp. TFO1, complete genome.